CUAAAUUAAUUAUUUAAUAUUUUUCUAUAACCUUUAUAUUUUUUUGUAAAUAAAUAAUAAAUACUAACUAUUUUAAUAACUUUUUUUUAUUACUUACUUAUAAUAAUAAAUCCUUAUAUAUUAUGUAAAUAAAAUCUAAUUGACCAUUUUUCUAAUUGAAUAAUAAUAAUAAACCUAUUAAUCUAAUAAUUUGAUAUUUUC
rnacentral:lncRNA from 1 species